GACGAACGCUGGCGGCGUGCUUAACACAUGCAAGUCGAACGGAGUGGCGAACGGGUGAGUAUUACGUGAGUAACCUGCCCUCCACUGUGGGAUAAGCCUGGGAAACUGGGUAUAAUACUGCAUAGUUGGGGAUGGGCUCGCGGCCUAUCAGCUUGCUGGUGGGGUGAUGGCCUACCAAGGCCGUGACGGGUAGCCGGCCUGAGAGGGUGGUCGACCACAUUGGGACGGAGAUACGGCCCAGAGUCCUGCGGGAGGCAGCAGUGGGGGAUAUUGCACAAUGGGUGCACGCCUGUUGCAGGGAGGACGCGUGAGGGAUGAAGGCUUUCGGGUUGUAAACCUAUUACGGUACAGAACGGGUAUGUGCAGAAGAAGCGCCGGCUAACUACGUGCCAGCAGCCGCGGUAAUAC
rnacentral:rRNA from 1 species